CCUACGGGCGGCAGCAGUGAGGAAUAUUGGUCAAUGGACGAGAGUCUGAACCAGCCAAGUAGCGUGAAGGAUGACUGCCCUAUGGGUUGUACACCUCUUUUAUAAAGGAAUAAACAGAGGCACGUGUGCCUUUUUGCAUGUACUUGAUGAAUAAGGAUCGGCUAACUCCGUGCCAGCAGCCGCGGUAAUACGGAGGAUCCGAGCGUUAUCCGGGUUUAUUGGGUUUAAAGGGAGCGUAGAUGGGUUGUUCAGUCAGUUGUUAAAGUUUGCGGCUCAACCGUAAAAUUGCAAUUGAUACUGGCAGUCUUGAGUACGGUUGAGGUAGGCGGAAUUCGUGGUGUAGCGGUGAAAUGCUUAGAUAGCACGAAGAACUCCGAUUGCGAAGGCAGCUUACUAAACUGCCACUGACAUUGAUGCUCGAAAGUGUGGGUAUCGAACAGGAUUAGAUACCCCAGUAGUC
rnacentral:rRNA from 1 species